GACAAAACAUAUCGUCGGAAAGGUCUGAGUCUCACAGUUCCAUAUGUGCCUCCCAUAUUUACUGUUUUGUGAUAGAAGUGAUAUUUGGACAGAAAUUUAUCAAUAUGUAACAUGAGAAUGCAUAAAAAAUUCAACAGAAUGUCGGUGGCACCCGGAUGCUAUUUUUGGUACAGCGCCUAAACAAAACCUCAUAGCAACUUUAAUUUUUAUGAUAUCAACUUCAAAUUUGGAACACAACUUGGUUAGACUAUGGCUUUCAUUUGAUAGCAAUUUUAGAGUAAAAUAUGGCAACACUUUAUUUUAUAGUGCAGUAGUUACACGUUACUACAUGUACUUACUAUAGUAAUAAAAGUAAAUUAUGCAUAAUUACAAGUAACUAACCCUAAACCAAACCUUAACUGUAACUCUAUAGUAAGUACAUGUAGUUAAUUAAUAGUACUCGGUACUUACAUGAGUAAUUACAAAGUAACUAUGGCACAAAAAUAAAGUGUAGCCUAAAAUAUAUUUGAUAAAAUACACAUUUUAUAUAAAAUAAAAAAAAAUAAAAAAAUGUUUAGUACAGUUCAUUUGAUUUACAGUAAAUUUAAUCUUCCAUAACUUGUAAUACUUUAUUUUUUUUUCAAAUGCUUUCACUUUAGCAAUAAUCUGCUGAGUGUCUUCUUUAAAACAAGACCAAACUUAAUUAUUUUAAUUAUUUUUUUGUUCAUUGACUAUGACAUGAAUAUAUGAAUACUUGAAUAAAAACAAACAAACAAAAAAUGUCUAAAAAUUCUAGGUUUAAAUUUAAAUACUAGGUUUAAAUUAAUUAACUGUGGACGUCUGCACUAUGAUCUUAGCAGUGGUCACACAUGCUACUGCUACUAAAAAAAACAUUCUAUCACUGUGUUCAAAUGAACUGUUGUGGUGCAGAGCAGACAGCCUAAUGGAGUGUUUACUCUGUCAAUACGUGCAGUUUGGAGAGUCAUAUUGCAGUUUAUGCCGUUUGUUUGCCUUUGUGCAUUGCGUCAGAUCAUCUCCUUGACAUGCUGAGGCUCUUAGGAGAGCCAUCAUCAAUAUUCCCUGAGUAUCAUAAGCAUGACUAUAAUUACAGAACAAGAGGUAGUGAGGAGAGAGCAAAAAAAAAAAAAAGGGGGGGGGUUUAUGAAAUCGCGCACCAUGCGUCUGACACAACAGAGACGAAGAAUGAGCAGGACUGCUGAGCAGAGUUCACCGAGCUCCGUGCUGGAUUUACCAACAGCAGAAGGAGGCUGUCACAUCAGGCAGUGUUAGGAUACGAAGGUGGUGUUGUCCCAUACCCAGAUAUUCAGACUGACAGCAGAAGGCCUGGACUCCAGACUUUUACGAUAUGGACUCGACAGUAAUGCAACAACAUGAGCAAAUUUGUCAAGCCAUGGCUAAAGUGUUGAUGUGGGUGGUGAACUGAUGCCCUCGGUUAUCAGACAGAAUGGUAAAAUCAUUUGUUUCUCUUUUCUGCUGCAAACAAUCAAUGUCGACCUCUCUGAGAAUCAAAUAAUCAGCCUUGGGCUAUUUCCCCCAUGAUUCCUAAUGACAAUGCUAGCAAAUUAGCUGCCUUACAACUUCUCAUGCCGAGAAGUUGUAUAGCUCCUGUGAAUCCCUUCGUCUGAGCCACACUAAAGGCCUUCGUUUUGUCUUCAUAACAGCCUGAGAAAGAGCGGGAUCUAUGAUAGCUGUGUAUUAAUUUAUGUUAUUCGCCAUCUGUCUGAAUCUGUGUCUGUCUUUGAGAAAUUUACAAGUGAAUAGUGUGUAUGAAUUAUGAACGAGGAAAGCUGUUUUCAAAUUUCAUCUCAUCCAGAUCAAGUCGAUACUAUUUUUUAACAUGGAACUAUGAGCCGGAGAGCAGUAUGUAAAACGGUUCAUUUCUCAACAAUACAGGUAAAAGCAUAAAGGAUGAACUUCUGCUGGUGGCCGAGAUCCUCCUGCUGCUUUUAAAUGACAGCCAUAUAUCUUUGUCCCUUUAAAUAUGGGACAGGACUCAAAUUAAAUAUGAUUAUAAACUAUGAUCAACGAUGGAAUUUUAAUUACCACUAAUAAGUGACCAUCUGCUUGGCAGCCAAGGGGCAAGAAGGGGGUGGAGGUCCAGGCCAGUGAGAAUGGAAACUGGUAUUAGUGAUGGUCUGGCUCACUGAUGUCAUCCAUAUGAGUGAAGAAAGUGUCUUGGCCACAUGUGUGCCAGGGUCUAAGAACUUGACCUUCCCAUCCUCUAGACAUGCAUGCAUUUGCACAUGUUCUUUACAGACAUGUAUACACAAUGAGCUCAUCAUAGGUCUUCUUCUUUACACUUACAUUAGAAUUCCAUUUGCAUUUCCACUCGCAUUGGUAUCAAAAAAAGCUGGAAUCCAAAGUCUGGAGUUUUGUGUAUAGGUGGUAACAGUUUUCUGCAAAAUUCUGAAAUACACGUACAUUUGCUGCAACCAAAGAGUUAUACUUUAAACGCUCACUGUGUUAAAGUCAAGGCAAAACCCAUUUUCUGUAAUAGUCUACUGGCACUUUUCCAUUUUCUGUGUGGUAUGACUCAGCUUGGCUAGGCUCGGUUCGGCUUGGCUCACUUAUAGUGUUGUUGUACUUUGAUAUAGUUGAUAUAGUUGCGCCACCUUUACUGCCGUGGACGCUCCUCGGCUACUAAAGAGUCUGCACCUCGAUACAGCCGUUUCUUUUUUAAAGCUGCAUGCGAAAGUCAUUUAAAGCAAGUUGUUUAAAAAAAAGAUACUGCAGUGGCUUAGCCUGACUUCGUCAUACUCAUAUUCUAGGCAGAAUGUGAGUCUGAUACUGCUCCAUUGCACUUGAAUUAUGGGGCGUGUCU